GACGAACCGUGCAAACGUUAUUCGGAAUCACUGGGCAUAAGGGGCGCGUAGGCGGCUCCAAAAGUCAGGGGUGAAAUCCGGCAGCUUAACUGUCGCAGUGCCUUUGAUACUGUGGAGCUAGAGGGAUGUAGGGGUCUGUGGAACUUCCGGUGGAGCGGUGAAAUGCGUUGAUAUCAGGAGGAAUACCGGUGGUGUAGACGGCUCUCUGGACCGCCACUGACGCUGAGACACGAAAGCGUGGGUAGCAAACAGG
rnacentral:rRNA from 1 species